UACGGAGGGUGCAAGCGUUGCUCGGAAUCAUUGGGCGUAAAGCGUACGCAGGCUGUUCGUUAAGUCGGGUGUGAAAGCCCGGGGCUCAACCCCGGAACUGCGCCCGAAACUGGCGAGCUUGAGUGCGGGAGAGGAAAGCGGAAUUCCUGGUGUAGAGGUGAAAUUCGUAGAUAUCAGGAGGAACACCGGUGGCGAAAGCGGCUUUCUGGCCCGACACUGACGCUCAUGUACGAAAGCGUGGGGAGCAAACAGG
rnacentral:rRNA from 1 species